AACACGUAAAGAACCUGCCCUCAGGUCUGGGAUAACCACGAGAAAUCGGGGCUAAUACCGGAUGGGUCAUCGGACCGCAUGGUCCGAGGAUGAAAGACGCUUCGGCGUCGCCUGGGGAUGGCUUUGCGGUGCAUUAGCUAGUUGGUGGGGUAAUGGCCCACCAAGGCGACGAUGCAUAGCCGACCCGAGAGGGUGAUCGGCCACACUGGGACUGAGACACGGCCCAGACUCCUACGGGAGGCAGCAGUAGGGAAUCUUCCACAAUGGACGAAAGUCUGAUGGAGCAACGCCGCGUGAACGAUGAAGGCCUUCGGGUCGUAAAGUUCUGUUGUAAGGGAAGAACAAGUGCCGCAGGCAAUGGCGGCACCUUGACGGUACCUUGCGAGAAAGCCACGGCUAACUACGUGCCAGCAGCCGCGGUAAUACGUAGGUGGCAAGCGUUGUCCGGAAUUAUUGGGCGUAAAGCGCGCGCAGGCGGCCUCUUAAGUCUGAUGUGAAAGCCCCCGGCUCAACCGGGGAGGGCCAUUGGAAACUGGGAGGCUUGAGUAUAGGAGAGAAGAGUGGAAUUCCACGUGUAGCGGUGAAAUGCGUAGAGAUGUGGAGG
rnacentral:rRNA from 1 species